AAAACCAAUAUGCAUCCCUCACUACACUCAGGAUUUAAAAUGUAAAAAGGUCUGUGUAAGAGAUUACACCAUCUAUUUUUGGCAGGUAAAAAGGGAUUAUGUAGGAGUUUACACUUAGUUUUAAAUACAUUUAAAAAGGUCAUUUUUGUAGGAGUUUACACGUAGUCAUGUGAAAACUGAAACUAUUAGACGUUUGUUAGUUGUUGGUAAUAUUUAACCCUU